AUGAAGGCUGGAAGGCGUGGCCCUUUCGAGGGAAGACGGCCGGCUGAAGGGAGGGCGCUUUCUUCAAGGACUACAACUCCCAGAAUGCCUUUCACUUACAAGACUUUUGGCGGGAGAAUAGCCACUGGAGUCUAGGGCUGUGAUACUUCUAUCAGAAGGCCCACUUCACAAUCUAUUAUUAUUAUUAUAUAUUAUUCUUCUUCGUAUAGCAUCUACCAAUCCGCAGAAAGGAAGGUCAGUUCCCCCCAAACCCCUCCAGCCAUUAAAUUUCGGCCUAUCAGGUCUGUGUGCCAAGUUUGGCCCAGAUCCAUUAGUGCUCUCUGGAUGUAGGUGAACUACAACUCCCUCAAAUCAAGGUGAAUAUCCCUCCAAAGCCUCCAGUGUUUUUUUUGCUGGUCAUGGGGGCUUUGUUUGCCAAGUAUGGUCAAAUUCCCUCUUUGGUGGAGUUCAGAGUACUCCUUGAUUGCAGGUGAACUAUAAAUCCCAGGAUCUAUAACUCCAAAGUACACAGACGAAUUCCCCUCAAAACUCACCAAUAUUCAAAUUUGGGCAUAUCAGGUAUGCAUGCCAAGUUUGGUCCAGAUCCAUCAUUGGGUUCACAGUGCUCCCUGGAUGUAGGUGAACUACAACUCCCUCAAAUCAAGGCUUUUGAGCGCCCAUGGAGGAGGAGGAGGCCUGCUAUUCUUCCCUUUUAGAUGGUCCAGGCCUUUCAGCAUCUGUGACGGAGGUCCAAUUCAUAGGAGCCCCCGAUGGUGCAGUGGGUUAAACCCUUAUGCUGGUUGGACUGAAGACCAAUAGGUCACAGGUUCGAAUCUGUGGAGAGUGCAGAUGAGCUCUCUCUGUCAGCUCCAGCUCCGUGCAAGGACAUGAGAGAAGCUUCCCACAAGGAUGGUCAAACAUCAAAACAUCUGGGCGUCCCCUGGGCAACAUCCUUGCAGAUGGCCAAUUCUCUCACACCAGAAGCGACUUGCAAUUUUUCAGGUUGCUCCUGACACGAAAAAAAAUAUUACAGACCUCUU